GUUUUUAUAGUUGAAUAACAACGGUGGUUUUUCGUACCAUAGGUUUUGGUUUGAGGCCAAAUAAAAAUG
rnacentral:tRNA from 1 species